UUUCAGAGGGAUAUAGGAACGUCUUAAUGCAGAGCGGAAUCUUGCCAAUGUCAAAUCCCCACGUGGUGUACAUGAGAUAAAAUACCACAACCCGAGCCAUAAAUGCUGUUAUAAAUACUGUCCCUUACUUAUUUGUCUAAGUUUAGCUGUCAGUCUUCCCAGCUAGACGAGAAAAUGUGCCCCGUGAGCUGUAGGUGAUAUACAAUAAAGGUGAUAACUCCCUUUGUUUUGACACAGCCCAGACUUCAGCGGAGCAGCUGGAACGCAGAUUUGUUUCUCCUGCUUUUGCGGCACGACUCCUGACGCUCCAGACACGGAGAGCUAUUUACAUAACGCCAAUCAGCCUUCCGUCCUCAUAAGAAGAUGAAGCGGUGAUUGCGGGGGCAGGUUUGUGGCUGAGGAAGCCACGGACAAACCGUCGCUGUGGCAGAGGAGUGCGUUCGAUCAAUACGGAGCGUUGUUCAGCUGGUGUGGAAGGGAAAAAAUGGUAUAGCAACAGCGUCUGUAAAGGGAGAUAAUCCUUUCUUUCUGCCUUACGUCCUUCAUUACACACAAAACAAAGAAUGAGGUCCACACUUCGUGAUCCAGGCAGGUGAAGAGGAAAUUGGAAUAUUGAUCUUUUUGUUCAGUUCUUCAAAGGCCACACAUAUGACUAACCAGCAGGGUGGUUAUUGCUGUGCUCUCUUUCAGAACCAUGUGAAAAAGGUGUUUUUCAUUCCUGAAGAAGUGUAGAAAAAGGGACACUUUUUCUGUGUAUUCUAAAACUAAAGACAGCCCCACACAAUAAUAAAGGAGGUAGACCCUAAUUUCAAAUUUUGUCUCUAGGCCAACUUAAAAUAAGCCUGUGAAGGUAGGUUGGUGGUCUCUGCCAGUCAUUCAUUGUUAUUUCUGAAAGUGCUUAGGGUUUUCCGAAGUGUUGUCUUCUUCCUCACUAAUGUACAUCCUCGUCCCAUUUCUGUACCCUGAGUUCAAACAACAAAAACAUUCCUUAUGGCACCCACCUGAGUGAGUCUUUCAAGUAAUAUCGAAGUUAUCACAUGAGCUUGAAAGCACUGUUUGGUUGUGUCACUCAUGUAUUUCUGGAGUUUUCAGCAACAGAAAGACAUUAGCACCUUUUGAUUGUAAUUUUGCAAAGCCAGCCAGAGGUCAGAGACUUCAGGUCUUCACAGAAUCAAUCAAAAUUGAUUAAAGGUCAAGGCAAGUACUGAAAACACAGUGUCAACUCUUAUCAAACAAAGAAACCUCCUUCCAGUACCAGAAAUAAAAUGACAACAGAGGGAGAAAUAGUGGUUUGUCAAACCUCUUCUGCCUUCUGAGCCCCAGGUGCCAGCACCCUCUCUGUGUUCUCCAUCCCACUGCCAGCUCCUCCUGGAUCAUUGCAGCCUACUGAGCACACCCUCUGCUUGGGUAUCCUUCAAGAAGAAAGUUCGGGAUACUUUUUUCUUAUGAGCAUUUCAAAAAUCUCACUGCAGGCUGCACUUGUCAAAAGUCUGCCUGAACCACGCUCCGAGAUAGUUCAGCUAAGGUUAUCACAUAAGUGUUCCUACUUGGGUAAAUAUUUAAUACAAAACUGAUAGCUCUGUGUUUGGUUUGGCCCCUUGUAAAUAGUUGGUCUGAUAUUUUGCCUCCUUGCUCUUUUAAGCAUAUAGGAUGGUCUGUUCCUACCGGGUAUAUCAUUAAUAUAUCAAAAUUCAAGGCAAAUAAUUAGAAUCAAAAGGUGCUACAUCAACUGUGGAGACAUCUGAAGUACAAAUUUCUUUACCAGAAUGGCAAUUACAUUUUUAAUUUGUUGUGUUUAAUGAUUGCGUGUCUCUGAUCUCAAUCCCUCGUAGCAAAAUGUGAGAAAAUGCUGGGUUGAGAUGGAACAAAAGCAAGAAACACGUUUAUGGAAAGAUAGUAUUUCACAGUCUCCUCUAUGAAUAACAGAAGCAUCCAGUCUGAAGAACAGUAUCAAAACAAAAGCCCCACAAGAAUUCAGACAAAACGUAAGGGAGACUCAUAGUGUAAGUAUCGUUGCAUGCGUAUAACACAAACAUACAAAGUAUACUUUAUACAAAAAAUUACCUCGAGUUAUUUUGUGGGAGGCAGUUCAGUUUUGGUUUUUUGCCAGUGGAAAACUUCAAAUGAAGAGUACUGCAGAGAAAACAACAGAAAACCUCAGCUUUCUAUCACAACUGGAAACAAUGAAAAGUUAACAUUAUUCCUGAAAGAGCUGAAUUUCUUGUUACUUCAAAGCACUGCAAGCCACGGAGAGCACCUAUCAGAAGAAAGCAAAUAAGGGCAUAUUGAGGGAAGUAAUGCCAAGUGGCUUUCCAUAAAAUAGAACAUCUCUAAGAGUUCAGCAAGAGGGCAAGACUAGCAAGACUACAGUGUUCUUUAGUAGAUGAAAGCAUUAGACUUUUAAGUCAGACCUAAGAGUGUAUAUAUUUGUGUUUAUCUUUUGUGGCGUGUGUUCUUCUCUGUAUUAAAAUUGUAAGAAUGAAAUGCUGGGUCGAUUGCUUCUAUGAACAACAACAUUUCAGGCUGGCAGAUGGGAUUAAAUACUAAUCCCCGUAUAGU